rnacentral:rRNA from 14 species
ACUCAAAGGAAUUGACGGGGGCCCGCACAAGCGGCGGAGCAUGUGGAUUAAUUCGAUGCAACGCGAAGAACCUUACCAGGGUUUGACAUAGUACGAAGUUUUUUGAAAAAAAAACCACCUUCGGGAACGUACAUACAGGUGGUGCAUGGCUGUCGUCAGCUCGUGUCGUGAGAUGUUGGGUUAAGUCCCGCAACGAGCGCAACCCUUUUCCUUAGUUGCUACGCAAGGGCACUCUAGGGAUACUGCCGGUGACAAACCGGAGGAAGGUGGGGAUGACGUCAGGUCAUCAUGGCCCUUAUGGGUAGGGCUACACACGUCAUACAAUGGCCGGGACAGAGGGCUGCCAACCCGCGAGGGGGAGCUAAUCCCAGAAAGUGUAUCGUAGUCCGGAUCGCAGUCUGCAACUCGACUGCGUGAAGUCGGAAUCGCUAGUAAUCGUGAAUCAGAAUGUCACGGUGAAUACGUUCCCGGGCCUUGUACACACCGCCC